UGAGGAGCACGCAUAUGAGCAUAAGGAUCUGCAUAUCCUUGAUGGUUCAUAUACGGUUGUGGUGCUUCUUGUCCAUACCCUUGGCCGUAUCCUUGAUUCGUAUACGAUUCUUGUACAUAUCCUUGGUUAGUAUACGGUUCUUGUACGUACGAUUGAGAUGAUUGACCUUGCAUCAUGUAGUGUUGACCGUACAUUUGUCCUGGUGGGUAGUAAUACAUGGGCUGAGGUGGAUAGCCAUAACCGCCAUACUCCGAUUUCUUCACAUCCACCGUAGCACCACCGUCUCCGCCUCCGGCUGAGGAAACUUCUUUCUUCUUGUCACCACCACCGUCUUUCUUUUCCCCCACAUCUUUGUUCUCUUUCUUUUCACCACCAUCCUUCUUUUCUCCGACAUCUUUGCUCUCUUUCUUUUCACCAGCAUCUUUAUCCUUCUUCUCGCUACCAGCUGAAGCUGAAGCCGCCGCCGCUGCUGCCACGGUGGCUCCUUCCUCUUUUUUCGGUGGAACAACUUCGACGUUGCGUUUAAGCUUCUCGUUG
rnacentral:lncRNA from 1 species